GACGAACGCUGGCGGCGUGCUUAACACAUGCAAGUCGAACGGAAAGGCCCUGCUUGCAGGGUACUCGAGUGGCGAACGGGUGAGUAACACGUGGGUGAUCUGCCCUGCACUUCGGGAUAAGCCUGGGAAACUGGGUCUAAUACCGGAUAGGAGCCAUUUUUAGUGUGAUGGUUGGAAAGUUUUUUCGGUGUAGGAUGAGCUCGCGGCCUAUCUGCUUGUUGGUGGGGUAAUGGCCUACCAAGGCGGCGACGGGUAGCCGGCCUGAGAGGGUGGACGGCCACAUUGGGACUGAGAUACGGCCCAGACUCCUACGGGAGGCAGCAGUGGGGAAUAUUGCACAAUGGGCGCAAGCCUGGUGCAGCGACGCCGCGUGGGGGAUGACGGGCUUCGGGUUGGAAACUCCUUUCGCUAGGGACGAAGCUUUUUGUGACGGUACCUAGAUAAGAAGCACCGGCUAACUACGUG
rnacentral:rRNA from 1 species